ACUCCUGCGGGAGGCAGCAGUGGGGAAUUUUGGACAAUGGGCGAAAGCCUGAUCCAGCAAUGCCGCGUGUGUGAAGAAGGCCUUCGGGUUGUAAAGCACUUUUGUCCGGAAAGAAAUCCUUGGCUCUAAUACAGUCGGGGGAUGACGGUACCGGAAGAAUAAGCACCGGCUAACUACGUGCCAGCAGCCGCGGUAAUACGUAGGGUGCGAGCGUUAAUCGGAAUUACUGGGCGUAAAGCGUGCGCAGGCGGUUUGCUAAGACCGAUGUGAAAUCCCCGGGCUCAACCUGGGAACUGCAUUGGUGACUGGCAGGCUAGAGUAUGGCAGAGGGGGGUAGAAUUCCACGUGUAGCAGUGAAAUGCGUAGAGAUGUGGAGGAAUACCGAUGGCGAAGGCAGCCCCCUGGGCCAAUACUGACGCUCAUGCACGAAAGCGUGGGGAGCAAACAGGAUUAGAAACCCUGGUAGUCCC
rnacentral:rRNA from 1 species